UGUCCGUAUCAUGUUGAAACACUGGUUCCCAUACAAUCACCAAAGUUAAGGAAUGUUGAAAGUGGUCAGUACCUAGAUAGGUGACCACUUGGGAAUACCAAGUGCUGUAAU